GCGCUCGUGGCGGAAUACCGGUAGACGCGCCCGGCUCAAAACCGGGUGCCCAUUCUGGGUGUGCAGGUUCAAAUCCUGCCGAGCGCA
rnacentral:tRNA from 4 species